rnacentral:rRNA from 1 species
UACGUAGGGUGCAAGCGUUGUCCGGAAUUAUUGGGCGUAAAGGGCUCGUAGGCGGUCUGUCGCGUCAGGAGUGAAAACUCGGGGCUUAACCCCGAGCCUGCUUCUGAUACGGGCAGACUAGAGGUAUGCAGGGGAGAACGGAAUUCCUGGUGUAGCGGUGAAAUGCGCAGAUAUCAGGAGGAACACCGGUGGCGAAGGCGGUUCUCUGGGCAUUACCUGACGCUGAGGAGCGAAAGUGUGGCGAGCGAACAGG